GCGCAGCAAGCGCGAAACUUCACACUGCGCGAAAGCGCGAUGAGGGAAUCCCAAGUGCUUACACGUAAGUGUAAGCUGUUUCCCUGUCUAAAAGCAGAGAGAGUAAGGGCUGGGUAAGACGGGUGCCAGCCGCCGCGGUAAUACCUGCAGCUCAAGUGGUGGCCGCUAUUAUUGGGCCUAAAACGUCCGUAGCCGGUCUAGUAAAUGCCUGGGUAAAUCGUGAGGCUUAACCUUACGAAUUCCGGGUAGACUGCUAGACUUGAGACCGGGAGAGGCUAGAGGUACUCCUGGGGUAGAGGUGAAAUUCUGUAAUCCUAGGGGGACCACCAGUGGCGAAGGCGUCUAGCUAGAACGGGUCUGACGGUGAGGGACGAAG
rnacentral:rRNA from 1 species